rnacentral:rRNA from 1 species
AUACGUAGGUGGCAAGCGUUAUCCGGAAUUACUGGGUGUAAAGGGCGCGCAGGCGGCCCUGCAAGUCGGAUGUGAAAGAUCAAGGCUCAACCUUGACAGGCCAUUCGAAACUGUGGGACUUGAGUGUCAGAGGGGAAAGUGGAAUUCCUAGUGGAGCGGUAAAAUGCGCAGAUAUUAGGAGGAACACCGGCGGCGAAGGCGACUUUCUGGCUGACAACUGACGCUGAGGCGCGAAAGCGUGGGGAGCAAACAGGAUUAGAUACCCUGGUAGUCCACGCCGUAAACGAUGAUUACUAGGUGUAGGGGGUAUCGACUCCCUCUGUGCCACAGUUAACGCAUUAAGUAAUCCACCUGGGGAGUACGGCCGCAAGGUUAAAACUCAAAGGAAUUGACGGGG